GCAUCACAGAAUCCAAGACAGCUGUUGCUUUAAUGGCAGAAGACUUCAAAAGGAAGACUAGACUUAUCUAAUUUUGCUUCGGUUUAAUUGUUCCAGACAGCUAUUUUCUGUUAAUUCUGAUGCCUGUUGAUUGUUUCAAAACUCAUCACAUGAUUGCUAGCUGGAAGGACUCUUGGCUUCAAGUAACAGAACGUCCUUCAUCAGGGACAACAAGAUGGAGCUGUUUCCUCUGUUUAACCGAUAGACACAGUUAUUCACAGUGCAGUUGCACAUUAACCACUUGGAUCCCGAUGGGAAUCAGUCAUUCAGCAAGAAAGAUUGUUGAAG
rnacentral:lncRNA from 1 species